rnacentral:rRNA from 1 species
UAGUGGCGAACGGGUGAGUAACACGUGGGCAAUCUGCCCUUCACUCUGGGACAAGCCCUGGAAACGGGGUCUAAUACCGGAUAACACCUGCCCGGGCAUCUGGGUGGGUUAAAAGCUCCGGCGGUGAAGGAUGAGCCCGCGGCCUAUCAGCUUGUUGGUGAGGUAGUGGCUCACCAAGGCGACGACGGGUAGCCGGCCUGAGAGGGCGACCGGCCACACUGGGACUGAGACACGGCCCAGACUCCUACGGGAGGCAGCAGUGGGGAAUAUUGCACAAUGGGCGAAAGCCUGAUGCAGCGACGCCGCGUGAGGGAUGACGGCCUUCGGGUUGUAAACCUCUUUCAGCAGGGAAGAAGCGAAAGUGACGGUACCUGCAGAAGAAGCGCCGGCUAACUACGUGCCAGCAGCCCGCGGUAAUACGUAGGGCGCAAGCGUUGUCCGGAAUUAUUGGGCGUAAAGAGCUCGUAGGCGGCUUGUCACGUCGGGUGUGAAAGCCCGGGGCUUAACCCCGGGUCUGCAUUCGAUACGGGCUAGCUAGAGUGUGGUAGGGGAGAUCGGAAUUCCU